rnacentral:rRNA from 1 species
UCUUCCCUCUUUCUUCGUGCUUAACACAUGCAAGUCGAACGGUGAAGGCGGAGCUUGCUCUGCUGGAUCAGUGGCGAACGGGUGAGUAACACGUGAGCAAUCUGCCCCUGACUCUGGGAUAAGCGCUGGAAACGGCGUCUAAUACUGGAUACGAGCUGCGAAGGCAUCUUCAGCAGCUGGAAAGAAUUUCGGUCAGGGAUGAGCUCGCGGCCUAUCAGCUUGUUGGUGAGGUAAUGGCUCACCAAGGCGUCGCCGGGUAGCCGGCCUGAGAGGGUGACCGGCCACACUGGGACUGAGACACGGCCCAGACUCCUACGGGAGGCAGCAGUGGGGAAUAUUGCACAAUGGGCGAAAGCCUGAUGCAGCAACGCCGCGUGAGGGACGACGGCCUUCGGGUUGUAAACCUCUUUUAGCAGGGAAGAAGCGAAAGUGACGGUACCUGCAGAAAAAGCGCCGGCUAACUACGUG